AUUGAACGCUGGCGGAAUGCUUUACACAUGCAAGUCGAACGGUAGAGGGGGCAACCCCUUGAGAGUGGCGAACGGGUGAGUAAUAUAUCGGAACGUGCCCAGUCGUGGGGGAUAACGUAGCGAAAGUUACGCUAAUACCGCAUACGAUCUAAGGAUGAAAGCGGGGGAUCGCAAGACCUCGCGCGAUUGGAGCGGCCGAUGCCUGAUUAGCUUGUUGGUGGGGUAAAAGCCCACCAAGGCGACGAUCAGUAGCUGGUCUGAGAGGACGAUCAGCCACACUGGGACUGAGACACGGCCCAGACUCCUACGGGAGGCAGCAGUGGGGAAUUUUGGACAAUGGGGGAAACCCUGAUCCAGCAAUGCCGCGUGAGUGAAGAAGGCCUUCGGG
rnacentral:rRNA from 1 species